GUUUAUCUGUGUUUACAGCAGGCAGGGUUAACCCUAGAUGGACCUAGCACCCAGACCACUUCAUUGAGCUGAAGUGGUCUGGGUGCCUAUAGUGGUCCUUUAACUACACACUAGGAAAUACGGUUUUGGGGAGAUGUCAUUAAAGUACCUGCCCCAGGGCACCUCAUGACGUUUCUACGUCCCUGGCAGCCUGCACAGCUGUCUAGAUCAUGCAUCCAAGAUAGUUUAAUUCAUGAAAAAAACAUUAAGAAAGCUAAAACAAGAUAAUAAAAGUUCU